rnacentral:rRNA from 1 species
GGAUAUUGCACAAUGGGGGGAACCCUGAUGCAGCGACGCCGCGUGGGCGAUGGAGUGCUUCGGCAUGUAAAGCCCUAUCAGCAGGGAAGAAAAUGACGGUACCUGACUACGAAGCCCCGGCUAAAUACGUGCCAGCAGCCGCGGUAAUACGUAUGGGGCAAGCGUUAUCCGGAUUUACUGGGUGUAAAGGGAGCGUAGGCGGUUUAGCAAGUCAGAAGUGAAAGCCCGGGGCUCAACUCCGGGACUGCUUUUGAAACUGUUGAACUAGAUUGCAGGAGAGGUAAGUGGAAUUCCUAGUGUAGCGGUGAAAUGCGUAGAUAUUAGGAGGAACACCAGUGGCGAAGGCGGCUUACUGGACUGUAAAUGACGCUGAGGCUCGAAAGCGUGGGGAGCAAACA